ensembl:lincRNA
ACAGUGGAAGGUCAGAAUGGGGAAGGCACUACUGAAGUACUGAGCGCCGCCAACCCCAAGUGCUUGAAUCUGAAAGAGGCAAAGGCAGACCAAGUCACAGAGCAGAUAGCUGAGCUUUUCAAGACAUGCAGCUGGCACCUAUCUCUGUGGACGAAAUGAUGUGCUAACUGCCCGUCUUGCUCUCUGUGAGUCUUUCCCUCACAGGAGAGCGUGCCAAUGCGGAUGGUUCACUUGCAUCUACUCUAGCCAUGCUUUGCUUUUGAUGAUGCAGGGAUGAAGAAAGGCUUGGUGACUCUGUGCCCCACUGCGCGGAGAAGACGGGGAGAGAAGGAAGAAGAUGGGGACAUAAGGAGAAGACGGGGAACUGGCUGAUUUGAGAUUAAUAACAUCAAAAAUGUGCUUGGAGGGGGAAGAUUUUCAUUCUUUGUGAUGUCCGUAUAUGAAAUAGUAUUAAUAGGGUGGAUGCAAUUCUGAGAAUUCCUAAGCCUGCGUUAGUCCUGUUAGAUAACUCUUGCUUCUGCUAAUCAUACUCAGAGCCCUUUGGGAGAUCUAAUUUCUCUCUCUCUCUCUCUCUCUCCUUUACCAGUACAUCUUAGCCUUCAUUGUUAUAACUCCCUUUGUUCACAUAAAUGGGUUUGUUGCUCAUUCCUUUUACAAACUGCAGUACUCCACUAGCUGCCAUUUGGAGAGAAGGUAUUCUUGUUCUCUCUAUCGUUGAUUAUAAAUUGAGUUUUAAUCGUUGAUUAUAAACUUUGUUAUGAAGCCUCAAGAGACAAAGCAUGCCAGCUCUCCACCUCUUUGAGAGAAAGCUGCACAGAGUUACACAGCCAAGAGGAGAGGGGAAGAGAGCCUUCCCAACCUGGCCUGUACUCCUUCCUGGCUUCACCUCAUUCGCUCCAUAAUUCCUCAAAGGCUAAAACUAUUUUUUUUAAGAUUUUAUUUAUUUUAUGUAUGUGAGUACACUGUAGCUGUCUUCAGACACACCGGAAGAGGGCAUCUGAUCCUAUUACAGAUGGUUGUGUGUCACCAUGUGGUUGCUGGGAAUUGAACUCAGGACCUCUGGAAGAGCAAUCAGUGCUCUUAACCACUGAACCAUCUCUCUAGUUUGCUAAAACUUUUUUAAAAAUUCACUCCAUUACCCUUCCUACAAAGGGGGUUGGAGGCAGGGGCUACUGUCUUGGAGUAUUUUAACAAUUCAGUGACAUGGCCGAGAUUUUCAAAAGACCUCCCAAUUCAUGCUGUCCAACAGAAAUGUAAUGCAAGCCAUGUCUGUAAUUUAGACUUGCAAGUAGCCACACUUCCAAAAGGCAGAGAAGAAGCUGGGGAAAUUAAUUAUAAUAACACAUUUUCUUUAAUCUGAUGUAUCCAAAAUAUUAUCAUUUCAAGACCUAGUCACCAAAUCUAUGUUAAUGGAAUAUUUUACAUUUAUUUUCUUUCCUACUAAGUCUCUAAAAGCCAAUGUGGAUUUUACACACUGAGACAGUGCACUUUCAUAAGAAAUACUCACUUUAUAUUUAGCUUUGUCAAGACUUGCAGUUGAAAAAAAAUAGAUUCACAUACACAAGUUGUGCCAAAAGUACUUAAAUAUUUCCUAAAAUCUGAAUCAAGUAUAAGUGUUUUAAAUUUAAAAUAAUUAAGAUGAAAUAAACAUGGAAAG